GUGUGUUUGUCAAGGACUACAACAAAACUGUGUACUGUUGGGGGUACUUGAGGACCAGAGUUGGGAAACACUGGGCUAGGCUAUUUGCAAAUUGGUUCAAUCAUCGUCCUCUUGCGUUGUCAUGCUGGAAUGGAAGUUGAUUUUUGAAUGGGAAUGGCAGUUACAUUUAGAAUUGAUCAAAAGGUUCCUUAUAGAACCACUUUUUAUCUAAGAGUGUAUAGUCCAAGUUAAAAUGCAGGUAAUAAUAAGGAACAAACAUUAUUUCCCAUUGACCCCCAGUGUGAAACUGCCAACUUCAUCAUCGCAUUUGUUUUCAGAAAUAACCAAACAUGCCGAAAAGCUGUGGUUGUUCAAUGUACAUUUAACAAGGUAAAAAAUCCCGAACUAUGGUUUGCAAUGCUCCCAUGUAGAAAAAUAGAGCCUGAGAGAAGAGCCUAUUCAUCAUGGGAGAGUGGGAAAUGUGGAGCCCCGGUGUCCAAGUACACUACACGUAGAUGUGUGUGGAAAACACUUCAUCACUGGUCACCAGACUGCUGAUUCUUGUGCACACCUGUCACCAUUGUCACACGCACCAGCACCUCAUGACACUCACCUGGACUCCAUGACCUCCUUUGAUUACCUUCACUAUAUUUGUCAACCCCCUUGGUUCUUUCCUCAGGUGCUAUUGACUCUGUUUCAUGUCAGUGCGUUGUUUGUGUUUCUUGUUUUAUGUACCGUUUAUUUAUUAAAACACUCACUCCCUGUACUUGCUUCCCGACUCUCAGUGUACAUUGUUACAGAAUAACACCUCACCUAAGGGAAGCAUCAGGGAGUGUUUUUUGUUUGUUUUUGUGUUGGAGGUGACGUCGGGUCCAGGUGUCAGUACUAGAGCUACCGGGGGAGGCCUCAGCCGGCUCCUCAGGCUCUCACACCUCAGCCGGUUCGUCGGACUCUCACAUUUUUUGUUAAUACUAGAAAGGGUUCUUUAAUCUCAUCAAAAAAUCUAAAGGUUCUAUAAAGAACCCCAAAAAAACAUUUUUUCUAAGAGUGUACAGAGAAUGGGAUAUGACAAACAGGGGAUUCCCUGAAUGAAAGUGAGCUCGCUGAAUGGCAUCGAC
rnacentral:lncRNA from 1 species